AACGCGAAGAACCUUACCAGGGCUUGACAUCUGACGAAUCUGCUGGAAACAGCGGAGUGCUCUUCGGAGAGCGUCAAGACAGGUGGUGCACGGUUGUCGUCAGCUCGUGUCGUGAGAUGUUGGGUUAAGUCCCGCAACGAGCGCAACCCUCGUCGUUAGUUGGUUCUAUCGGUAUACUGAUAGUAAUCUCUCCAGCGAGACUGCCGGUGAUAAACCGGAGGAAGGUGGGGACGAUGUCAAAUCAUCACGCCCCUUAUGCUCUGGGCUACACACGUGUUACAAUGGGUAGGACAGCGAGCCGCGAACCCGCGAGGGCAAGCAAAUCUCUAAAACCUAACCUCAGUUCGGAUUGCACUCUGCAACUCGAGUGCAUGAAGUCGGAAUCGCUAGUAAACGCAGAUCAGCACGCUGCGUUGAAUACGUUCCCGGGUCUUGUACACACGC
rnacentral:rRNA from 1 species